UUGGAUUCCACCACUUGUUGACAGCACUCCCCUCAGAUCAGAGCUUUAAUUAUUGCUUACAGUGACUAUUUUGUCAUGGUUUUGAGCUGCUGGCAGCGGGCGCAGAAAAGCACAUGAGUCGCUGUCAUUCCGCGCAACAUUUGCGGACGGGAGGAAUCUAGUGAGUACUUGUUGCGAGCCAUACGGCGGCGGCAGCGUCUCGGAGCUGUCAAACAUUGCGCACAGCCUUCAGUCUCCAGUCAGUGGAGUAACCGGACUAAUCCAUCAGGAAAACAACUCGGAAGAUUAACCUAUUUUAUCCUCGAGAAACUAGUUUUUGUCUACGCACCCGGAAGCCUGUUUUUAAAACCACGAUCAUUUUGUCACAUGGCUUUGGAGAAUUCAAUAACAACAAAAAAUGGCGACAAUCACGUUGCUCUGUGUGGUCUUGCUGCGUCAUUAAAAAUAUUCAUGUAAACACGGGGAAUUAAACGGGGAAAUUGCAGUUAUUGCACAUGUUGCUUUGCUGUCCACGUCUGACAUGAACAUUUUUGGCCAGUGCCCUGUGCAGCGGGGCUAAUGGAGUUGUUUACAAGAAGUGAGGAGGGUGGACUGACGGGGAGGAGGAGGAUCCGCUACGUCGGCCAGCGACGCGACCGGACUGCUCGAGAGGGGGCGGAGCCCGCAAGGAGGAUCAUAACAAGUCUGACGUCACUUGGCCUUGUGGUUGGUAUGAAUAAUAUACAGUAGUUAAAAGAAAAAAAACAUUUUUAAAAAAAGCAGUUUUCCUCUACAAACUCCCAGCAGGAAAAGAGGUGAGGGGAAAAAUAUGUUGUUUUAAUAACUGUUUUCAUGAAUUGACACAUUAAGGAGCCACUUGUGCACCAGCAGACUGGAAACAAAGACAUAGCAAUACAAUUAAACCACUGAAUAUCUGAAUAUUGCCAAACAUGGACAUCAUGAUGGAAUACAUAAAGCUGAAAAGCAGACGUCUUCCUCCAAUUUCCAAGAAUCAAACAAUGUGCUUUGCAGAUUCACAGUAGCUCAUUGAGUUCUAAGACUGGGUGUGCAUUAUUCACCGUCCAACAUUCAGACACAGGUAGAAGUUGGAUGAAUUAGAGCUGCAAUGAUUAGUCGAUUGAUUGAUUAGUCGUUUAGAAGAACAUUAAUUGGUGACAAUUUUGAUAUUUGAUUGAUUGUUUCAGUUAUUUUUUGAGCAUGAAUGACAACUUUUUUCAGAUCUCAGCUUCUCAAAUGGGAGGAUUUGCUGCUUUUCUUUGUCAUAUAUCAUAGUAAAUUGAAUAUCUUUAGGUUUUGGUUGGACAAAAUCAAAUUAAAGAUGUCACUGUGGGCUUAGAGAAAAUUUAAAUGUAUUUUUUUAUUUACUAUUUCUAAUAUUUCGUAGACGAAAUGAUUAAUCAAUUAAUCAAAACUAAAAAUGUGAAAAAAAUAAGAUGAUCAUUAGUUGUAGUCCUUGCACAGAAUUAAUGCUGCAUCGUAAAAAACAUUUUCAAUCAUCAUUAGUUUCAUUUACAGCAUUUAAGUCCUAUGUCAAAGGGAUUUCCAUAUGUGGUUCAAAGCAUUAGACAAAUAGUUACUGUUUUUAUGGAAUACCCAUGUAACUGGGUGAUAAGAAAGAGUCUACAACAACACUGUUCAUGAAUCAACAACAUCCAUUUUACCAUAUAUGGACAACAGAGUCUGUCUUUUGCCAGACAGACUAAAUAAAUGAAACAAAAUAAACUGAUAAAAUCCCUGAGCAAUGUCCCGAUUGAGAUGCAUGCAGGAGCUUAUUAUAACUUCCAAUACUUACGGCUGAGCCUCUCGCACCAACUCUAGAAUCUUUUUACACUAACAGUAGGGUAUAAUAUAAAGGAAACCUAGAUAAUGAGGAUUCUUUGAGGCCGUGACAGCACAAGGACUCACAUCCUCAAACUUUGAAAUAUAUUUUAUUUUAUACCUUUUUCACUCUGACUUUACUUUCUAAUGGUCUUAUUAUAUUUACCCUCAAAUGUUCUAUCAUUUUAAAUGUUACGAUCUCGUGGUUAGAGAGCAAAAGACUUGUUGUUGACCCUUGGUGGGAAGGAUACUUUAAAAAAAAGUAUGUAAAAUGUUACUUGAAAAUUAUAUAUAUGAAUUGCUGGAGAUGCAACUUGUGCAUGUUUUAUAUUAGAUGCCACCAAAUGAGCUGCAUAAAAGCAAAAGGAAAACUUUGUUUAUCUUUGCACCUGUUGACCUAGAGCAUGGAUGUAACGGGUGGAUGACGAACGGAGUGAAGCCAUGGGCUGCUAGAUUUGACAGGCUGCCCUGGUUCAGUUAUCACAGUGCUGAUGCUGUCCCCAUCGAAGGUACAGUACUGUGAUAACUGAAGGAUGGCUGCCAACUUGACACUAGUGCAGUGGAACGAGACACAUUCAGCUAAUGAGCCAGAGGACCAGGGAGAAAUUCAACAAGUGUGAGUAUGAGAUAAAAACAAAAAGUGGUAUGAUGGAUCUAUUAGCCCUUUUAUUGUGUAUAUGAGUGUAAGAAAUAUUAAACUAAAAACCUGUAUGUUAGUAUUAUCUUCAUUACUCAUGCAUUUCUGUUUGGUUGUAAGAAAAAUAAAGUGACAUUUCUUUUA